CUCCAAACAGCGAUACAUCGGCAAGUUGCUGGUCUGGCAUUAUUUAAGCUGCACGAUUCUGCAUUGAUCGAAUUGAGAUUUUCAUCAUAACGAAUUCAACAUCACUGAGGCACGAGGCACGAGGAAUUUACGCGAAGGAAGGAUUAUCUUGAGGAGAUAAAAAAUACGAAACAAGAGGUCGAUUGAGGUGGAACAUUUGCGAACUCGUGUGUCAACAAUCCAACAAGGAGAAAAAUCAGAAAUUGUAGAAAUAAAAAGACUUUAUCAGACAAUAAAGAUAUUUCAGACUUUAAA